ACCACUCAGGAAGCAAGAUCCAUGAGGCCAGGCUCUCGGUUGUUUAUUUCUUGAGCACAAGUUCUGUACUCAAGUUCAGCUCUGUUCUGUAGUCCUUGCCAUAAUCUUAGGAUGCUGACAUUGUUUUUGGGUCUUGCACAUAAGACAGCUGGUGCUUAGUGUAGUGACCCAGCAAACGUCACUAGUUGUACACACUGCAGUCCUCAGUGUUGUGGAUAGAUGGGGAAUAUGAUAUAGGUGCCAGGGAUACGGCUCAUGGCUUUCUUGAUUUUAUUUUUCAGCCAAUUAUUUAAAAUAAACUUCGAUAUUCUUUUCUCCCCUGAUCUUUGCCAUUAAACCGUUAAAUUCUUUUUUUUCUUUUAAAGAUUUAUUAUUUUUUUAAAUUUAUUUUUUAUUUUUUUAUUUUUAUUUUUUUGGUUUUUCGAGACAGGGUUUCUCUGUGUAGCCCUGACUGUCCUGGAACUCACUUUGUAGACCAGGCUGGCCUCGAACUCAGAAAUUCACCUACCUCUGCCUCCCGAGUGCUGGGAUUAAAGGCGUGUGCCACCACCACCCGACUAAAGAUUUAUUUAUUUUAUUUAUAUGAGUACACUGUAGCUGUCUUCAGACACUCCAGAAGAGGGCAUUGGAUCCCAUUACAGAUGGCUGUGAGUGACCAUAUGGUUGCUGGGACUUGAACUCAGGACCUCGGGAAGAGCAGUCAGUGCUCUCAACCGCUGAGCCAUCUCUCCAGCCCAAGCCUUUACAUUGUAAACAAGUACUGCAUCGGUUUAGGAGUUAGAGUUGGGUAUACUUUGGUAUAUUAUAGAAAGGCCAUUUGUUCAAGCCUUUCUGUAAAAUUAAAGAAAAGUGCUUUUAGCAGCCUGUGUAUAAAUGAUGAAAGACAUGUGCAGUCAAGAUACAAGAUUAGGGGGACAUGGCUCAGUCAGAAGGAGCACUUGGCAUACGACCUGAAGUCAGAUCCACGCACAUGUGUAAAAGCUCAGCAUGGCCUCUCGAGCCCAGUAACCUGGAGCUCUGGAGACAGAAGGGUUGUUAGGAUGGGCUUGGUACCGGCGUAGAUGAAAAAUGGUGAGCUCGAGUUUCUUUGUGAGACCCUCUCAAGGGAACAAGCAAAGGGUGAUAGAGUGUGACUGGCUUCCUCUGUCCACCAAGCACAUGUGUACCUGUUCAUCCCAUGUGCUUACACACUGCACACACAGAAGGAAGAGGAAGGCACAAAGGCUCAGGGUGUGCUGCAGUGGCAGAAGGCUCCUCUAGCAUGCCCAGUGUCUCAUUCCUAGCACUGAAAAAGAACUUGUCUGAACCGGGUUGGUGGUGGCCAUGCCAUCAAUCCCAGCACUUGUUAGGAAGAGGCAGGUAGAGCUCCGAGUUUGAGGCCAGCCUGGUCUAGGGUGCAAGUUUCAGAACAGCCAAGGCUUCACAGAGAAACCUGGUCUCCAAAACAAAGCAAAAGUUUGUCUAUGGGGCGGGAAAUAAGGCUCAGUGAUUAAGAGCACUGGCUGCUUUUCCAGAGCACCUGGGUUUGGGUCCUAGCAUCCACACUAAUCACAGCUCCAAGGGAUCUGAAGCCUCUGGCCUCUCCAUCCUAAGGGUAGAUGGUGUCCAUAAACCCAUGCAGGCGCACCCACAUACAUG
rnacentral:lncRNA from 1 species